rnacentral:rRNA from 1 species
AACGAACGCUGGCGGCAUGCCUAACACAUGCAAGUCGAACGAACCCUUCGGGGUUAGUGGCGCACGGGUGCGUAACGCGUGGGAAUCUGCCCUUGGCUUCGGAAUAACAGUUAGAAAUGACUGCUAAUACCGGAUGAUGUCUUCGGACCAAAGAUUUAUCGGCCAGGGAUGAGCCCGCGUAGGAUUAGGUAGUUGGUGGGGUAAAGGCCUACCAAGCCGACGAGCCUUAGCUGGUCUGAGAGGAUGAUCAGCCACACUGGGACUGAGACACGGCCCAGACUCCUACGGGAGGCAGCAGUGGGGAAUAUUGGACAAUGGGCGCAAGCCUGAUCCAGCAAUGCCGCGUGAGUGAUGAAGGCCUUAGGGUCGUAAAGCUCUUUUACCCGGGAUGAUAAUGACAGUACCGGGAGAAUAAGCCCCGGCUAACUCCGUGUCAGCCGCCGCCGUAAAAC